rnacentral:tRNA from 1 species
CCGGCUGCUGCGGUGCGGCGGGGUAGCCGUAGCCGGACUGCGGCUGCGGCGGGGCUGCCUGCGGGUAGCCGUAGGUCGGCUGCGGACCGGCCGGCGGGAC